AGACUUCCCAACCCCCACCAAGCUCAAGCAUCUCAGGACCAGAAACCAGAAAUGCAAUUUGCCAAGCAUAUGAAGAAUAUGUUUUUACUGGUUUUUGAUAACUUAAAAUACUUCUUCAUCUAAAACCAGGCUGAUCUUGAGAAAGAUUUUAAAGGAGAUUAGAAAAUUCACUUUAACAAACCACUAUCAUAUAGUCACAUCAAUCUUUCGUAGAUAUUUUUGCAAACAAUUACCAGAAUUCUUAGAGUUUAUUACAGAUAUUUUGUUCUUGACCUUUGACACUUGCCAUUUAGCAAUUGCAUGGUUUUACUUUUGUGGUUGUAGAGUUUCUGUUUUUCUUUCAUUAGAAUGAUGUAAGUAGAGGAAUAGAAACUGUUAUAUUUGCAAAAAAAGAGCAAAGAUGCUUUGUGACCUUGGGAAUUAUAUUUGAAGGUUACUCACAAGAGAAUACCUUGUUUAGGAAAGAUGGUUAAUUUUUUUCUUGCAAGCAGACUUUUUUACAAAAUUAGUUAAUGGCAAAUGUGUUCUUUGCUGAAUAUUAAUCUAUAGUAUCAUUUAAGAUGUUCUUAAUUUAUGUUUCUGGACUUUGUUUAAAUGUCAAACUCUAGAAAGGGUAAACUAGCUCACCCCACUGCUAGGUAAUAGCUAGUAUUGUCUUCGCUGCAGGGCAUUUUACAGUAAAAUUUUGAAGUAUAUUGAAAAAAGUUACCAGUUCACUUACUAUACAAUAGCUUGGAAUGUGAAUGUCUGAAAGAAGAAAAAUUCAAUAAAUGACUAUGUAGUUAUUUGGUGGAAUUCACAACAUAAUAACAAGAAAAGGUUUUCAGCUUUGAUCAUAAUGGAAAUGAGUCAUUUAAUUUUACCCUCAGUCCUGGUACACAGUUUCAGCACCUGCUAAGAAGUCGGCUUGCAUUUAAAUGACUUAGGCAAUUAUUAAAAGCAAGUUUCAAGAAAUAAAUGGCAUUUAUAUAAAAAGGAGACUGGGCUCAAACUGCUAGUGCUUUAAAUUUCCAUAAAAGCAAAUUCAAGUUCAGAACAGGAUUCAGGAUUUAGUAACAAUUCAAAGGUUUUCAAUCCCUUAAUCUCUUUGUGAUAACUAUAUUCAUCAUGUAGCCAUUUUUAAAAGGAAGAGAAUAAAAAUGUUAACAUUGAUGUCUACCAGCACUUGUGACUGAAAAAUUGAUUAUAUAUGGUAAAUACUUAUGGCUCCAAAUAGCUAUUUGAUUUAUAAUUUUGGUAUUGAAAUGUAAUGAAAUACUUCUAUUGUAUUUGCAAUCGCUGGAAGAGUAGUAUGAAUCAUACUUCAAAUAAAAAUGCUUCUUUUUAUCAUUUUUCCCAAAUGUUUUGAGUGUAAGAAUGCUGUUUCCUUUUCUCUCAGGUCUACAUAUCUUUACUCAUCAUCUCAAAGGUGAUUAUUUUGUAACUUGACCUUAGUCUUGCAAAGGAGCUCUAUUUAGAGAUUUAAAUAUAGUAUUAACUUAGAAAAUAAAUUUCAACUAUUCAUACUGUUUUACCUAGAGUUAUUACAUUAUUAAGAGUAAAUAUCUUAUUAAACUCAAUAGGGAGCCACAAAAUAGAUAAGAUUUCUAAAGGAGGUAACUGAGUGUAUAUAAAAUAACUGAUGAAAAAUAAAAGUUAAGAAAAUGGGGCAGCUAAAUCAUCUGUCAACAGUAUUUAUAUUGAAAAGACAUUGUAAAUAUUAACUUCAGUUUUUCUAGCUUGCCAUAUGGAAUUGCUAUAAUUGGAAGACAAAACAAAAUGUGGGAAGUACCUGACAUUUCACUUAAAUUUAUUUAAACAAAGUUUGUAUAUGUUCUGAGCCACCUACUAUUUUUGAGGCACUAUUCUAAGUGCUUAUAUUUCUUAGCUCACUUAAUCUUCACAAUAUCAUGAGGUGGAAACUUUUGUUUUUGACCAUUUUACAGAUAAGGAAACUCAAACAAGUACAAUCUAGACCUCCAAAUGGACACGUGCUGCUUAGUAGCUAUGUGGCCUCUGUUCUGAGUCCUGUGACCAUUUCAGAGUUAUAGUUCAUAAUUCCUUCUCAUGUCCUGUAGUCCUGUCACCAAGUGCUAUAAUUUCAUCAUUUCCUUGGAUUGUUCUUUCUUGUUUUUGCCUGGGUUAUCUCCAUUUAUGCCUGAAUGACCAUAUAUCAUAGUCUCUUAGUUUAGUGAAUUUCAGGCAUCAGUCUGAGGACUUGAGUUGAUUUGUGAAGAAAUUUCAGCAUCUGCUCUCUUAACCUAGUGAUUGACUUCCGGGUUUCAAAAAAUGGUUCCUACACAACAGCUAUUAUUAUAGAUUGCUGUAGGAACUACUCUUUGCAGCCAUUUAUUAGCACUCGCAGGGCCACUUUCUAAUCUUCUGAAGGCUCUUUCUGCAUCCAUGCUCGUUCUCUCUAUUUUGCUCUCAUUAUACAGCUGCCAGAACCGUUAUUUUAGAAUGUGAUAUAGUUUGGUUCUUUGUCCCCAUCCAAAUCUUAUGUUGAAUUGUAAUCCCCAGUGCGGGAGGUGGGGUCUGGUGGGAGGUGUUUGGGUCCUGGGAGCAGACCCUUCAUGGCUUGGUGCUGUCUCCAUAACAGUGACUGAGUUCUUGCAAGAAAAAAUACUUCUGUAAGGACAUCUGCCCAGCAACUGCUGGUUCAACUGCCUGGGCUACUGUCACCCUUGUUAUUGAUCCUCGUAGCCAAAGAAAAUUAUCUCAAAACAAUUGUGUAAUCCCCUCAUUUUUCCUUUAAAAAAUUAUUUUAUCUCUGUCAGUAUACACAUAGUUUACUAUGACAUUCAUAUUCCCUUAGCAAUGUCCUAUUCCUGAAUGAAUAUAAUUUUAUUUUAGAGAGACUCUCUUGGUUUGUAGCAAUAAUUUUUCAAUAUAUGAGAUUUAUCUCGAUAUUGUAUGGUUAAUAGUGUUAGUUGCUGUUACUCUGUUCUAAAAAGUGAGGCUAAAUUGUAGCAAAAUGAUAUACCUUUUGUUUUGCAGAAAUCUCCCAAAGAAAAGCCAUAGUUCAGGUUAAAGCAGUUAAGCCUAUGGCAUUUCCUUUAGCAAAAUCGCAAUAAAAGAUAAACUAGGUAGUUAAAUAAUCCUAAGGGUUAGAUUACACGAGCAGUCCAACUUGUUUCAAGUAAGCAUUGAAUACAUUCUUAUUGAGUAAAUAAUCUGUUUCCCAUUUGUAACUUUCUUCAGACUUACCCUCUAUAAUGACUCUUCAGUGAACAACUUUUUGCUAGAAUGACUCUGGCAAAAUGCUAAUAUUUUGGACAAUGACUUGAAAAAUUGUCUAACAACCUUUCCACCAAAAAACAUAAUAUAAAAAUGGGCAUUUCAACAUUGUGAUUUCAGGCAAUGACACAUUUGACAAUUUACUUGACAUAACAAUUUUUAGUCAGAUCCAAAUAUAUGCAUCGCAUUUGAAUUGCCUUCCAUGUAUGGAUGAAUCCAAAGCAUUUUGCUCUCUGUACAUACCCUAAAGUACUUCUGCCUGCUAUUCUCUUCAUCUCUAAGCAAGAGAUGAAGAUGCAGUAUCUUCUGGGAGUCUUCUGUCUGUUAUGCCUCUAUAUACUUAAUCUGUAUUUUACCCAAAGGUGUUUUUCUGGGAUAAUUUUACUUUAAGUGCAAAAUAAUCAUGAGCCCCCCAAGUUUGAAAUAUUAGUGAAAAAAAUGUUUCAGAAAUAAGGAAAAUAAAGGAAGUACAACAUUGCCAUUUAUAUAUAAGCUGU
rnacentral:lncRNA from 10 species